GUUCAAAUAGCUUAUAAAGAGUUUAAUAUUGAAGAUGUUAAGGAGAUGCUAUGUCUUUGAACA
rnacentral:tRNA from 1 species